UCCUGACUGACCGAUAGUGAACCAGUACCGUGAGGGAAAGGCGAAAAGAACCCCGGCGAGGGGAGUGAAAAAGAACCUGAAACCGUGUACGUACAAGCAGUGGGAGCACGCUUAGGCGUGUGACUGCGUACCUUUUGUAUAAUGGGUCAGCGACUUAUAUUCUGUAGCAAGGUUAACCGAAUAGGGGAGCCGAAGGGAAACCGAGUCUUAACUGGGCGUUAAGUUGCAGGGUAUAGACCCGAAACCCGGUGAUCUAGCCAUGGGCAGGUUGAAGGUUGGGUAACACUAACUGGAGGACCGAACCGACUAAUGUUGAAAAAUUAGCGGAUGACUUGUGGCUGGGGGUGAAAGGCCAAUCAAACCGGGAGAUAGCUGGUUCUCCCCGAAAGCUAUUUAGGUAGCGCCUCGUGAAUUCAUCUCCGGGGGUAGAGCACUGUUUCGGCAAGGGGGUCAUCCCGACUUACCAACCCGAUGCAAACUGCGAAUACCGGAGAAUGUUAUCACGGGAGACACACGGCGGGUGCUAACGUCCGUCGUGAAGAGGGAAACAACCCAGACCGCCAGCUAAGGUCCCAAAGUCAUGGUUAAGUGGGAAACGAUGUGGGAAGGCCCAGACAGCCAGGAUGUUGGCUUAGAAGCAGCCAUCAUUUAAAGAAAGCGUAAUAGCUCACUGGUCGAGUCGGCCUGCGCGGAAGAUGUAACGGGGCUAAACCAUGCACCGAAGCUGCGGCAGCGACGCUUAUGCGUUGUUGGGUAGGGGAGCGUUCUGUAAGCCUGCGAAGGUGUGCUGUGAGGCAUGCUGGAGGUAUCAGAAGUGCGAAUGCUGACAUAAGUAACGAUAAAGCGGGUGAAAAGCCCGCUCGCCGGAAGACCAAGGGUUCCUGUCCAACGUUAAUCGGGGCAGGGUGAGUCGACCCCUAAGGCGAGGCCGAAAGGCGUAGUCGAUGGGAAACAGGUUAAUAUUCCUGUACUUGGUGUUAC
rnacentral:rRNA from 1 species